UUAAGUGACUAAGCGUACAAGGUGGAUGCCUUGGCAAUCAGAGGCGACGAAGGACGUGCUAAUCUGCGAAAAGCUUGGAUGAGUCGAUAAGAGGCGUUUAAUCCAAGAUGUCCGAAUGGGGAAACCCAGUAGAUGAAGAAUCUACUAUCACUUACUGAAUCCAUAGGUAAGUGAGGCAAACCGGGAGAACUGAAACAUCUAAGUACCCCGAGGAAAAGAAAUCAACCGAGAUUUCGUUAGUAGCGGCGAGCGAACGCGAAGGAGCCUGUUAGUGAUAAUGACAGAGACAGAGGAACAAGCUGGGAAGCUUGGCGAUACAGGGUGAUAGCCCCGUACUCGAAGUCCAGGUCAUGGUACUAAGCUAACGAUAAGUAGGGCGGGACACGUGAUAUCCUGUUUGAAGAUGGGGGGACCAUCCUCCAAGGCUAAAUACUCCUGAUUGACCGAUAGUGAACCAGUACUGUGAAGGAAAGGCGAAAAGAACCCCGGUGAGGGGAGUGAAAUAGAACCUGAAACCUUGUACGUACAAGCAGUGGGAGCCCUUUAAGGGUGACUGCGUACCUUUUGUAUAAUGGGUCAGCGACUUAUAUUUUGUAGCGAGGUUAACCGAAUAGGGGAGCCGAAGGGAAACCGAGUCUUAACUGGGCGUCUAGUUGCAAGGUAUAGACCCGAAACCCGGUGAUCUAGCCAUGGGCAGGUUGAAGGUUGGGUAACACUAACUGGAGGACCGAACCGACUAAUGUUGAAAAAUUAGCGGAUGACUUGUGGCUGGGGGUGAAAGGCCAAUCAAACCGGGAGAUAGCUGGUUCUCCCCGAAAGCUAUUUAGGUAGCGCCUCGUGAAUUCAUCUCCGGGGGUAGAGCACUGUUUCGGCAAGGGGGUCAUCCCGACUUACCAACCCGAUGCAAACUGCGAAUACCGGAGAAUGUUAUCACGGGAGACACACGGCGGGUGCUAACGUCCGUCGUGAAGAGGGAAACAACCCAGACCGCCAGCUAAGGUCCCAAAGUCAUGGUUAAGUGGGAAACGAUGUGGGAAGGCCCAGACAGCCAGGAUGUUGGCUUAGAAGCAGCCAUCAUUUAAAGAAAGCGUAAUAGCUCACUGGUCGAGUCGGCCUGCGCGGAAGAUGUAACGGGGCUAAACCAUGCACCGAAGCUGCGGCAGCGACGCUUAUGCGUUGUUGGGUAGGGGAGCGUUCUGUAAGCCUGCGAAGGUGUGCUGUGAGGCAUGCUGGAGGUAUCAGAAGUGCGAAUGCUGACAUAAGUAACGAUAAAGCGGGUGAAAAGCCCGCUCGCCGGAAGACCAAGGGUUCCUGUCCAACGUUAAUCGGGGCAGGGUGAGUCGACCCCUAAGGCGAGGCCGAAAGGCGUAGUCGAUGGGAAACAGGUUAAUAUUCCUGUACUUGGUGUUACUGCGAAGGGGGGACGGAGAAGGCUAUGUUGGCCGGGCGACGGUUGUCCCGGUUUAAGCGUGUAGGCUGGUUUUCCAGGCAAAUCCGGAAAAUCAAGGCUGAGGCGUGAUGACGAGGCACUACGGUGCUGAAGCAACAAAUGCCCUGCUUCCAGGAAAAGCCUCUAAGCAUCAGGUAACAUCAAAUCGUACCCCAAACCGACACAGGUGGUCAGGUAGAGAAUACCAAGGCGCUUGAGAGAACUCGGGUGAAGGAACUAGGCAAAAUGGUGCCGUAACUUCGGGAGAAGGCACGCUGAUAUGUAGGUGAAGUCCCUCGCGGAUGGAGCUGAAAUCAGUCGAAGAUACCAGCUGGCUGCAACUGUUUAUUAAAAACACAGCACUGUGCAAACACGAAAGUGGACGUAUACGGUGUGACGCCUGCCCGGUGCCGGAAGGUUAAUUGAUGGGGUUAGCGCAAGCGAAGCUCUUGAUCGAAGCCCCGGUAAACGGCGGCCGUAACUAUAACGGUCCUAAGGUAGCGAAAUUCCUUGUCGGGU
rnacentral:rRNA from 1 species